AGUGAACGCUGGCGGUAGGCCUAACACAUGCAAGUCGAACGGCAGCACAGUAAGAGCUUGCUCUUACGGGUGGCGAGUGGCGGACGGGUGAGGAAUACAUCGGAAUCUACUUUUUCGUGGGGGAUAACGUAGGGAAACUUACGCUAAUACCGCAUACGACCUACGGGUGAAAGCAGGGGAUCUUCGGACCUUGCGCGACUGAAUGAGCCGAUGUCGGAUUAGCUAGUUGGCGGGGUAAAGGCCCACCAAGGCGACGAUCCGUAGCUGGUCUGAGAGGAUGAUCAGCCACACUGGAACUGAGACUCGGUCCAGACUCCUACGGGAGGCAGCAGUGGGGAAUAUUGGACAAUGGGCGCAAGCCUGAUCCAGCCAUACCGCGUGGGUGAAGAAGGCCUUCGGGUUGUAAAGCCCUUUUGUUGGGAAAGAAAAGCAGCAGGUUAAUACCCCGCUGUUCUGACGGUACCCAAAGAAUAAGCACCGGCUAACUUCGUG
rnacentral:rRNA from 1 species